rnacentral:piRNA from 1 species
UGCUAAUAUUGCUACAUGAUUUUUAAAAGC